GACGAACCGUGCGAACGUUAUUCGGAAUCAUCUGGGUACGUUAAAGCGCGUGGUAGGCGGAUGGGGACGAUUCGGCAGUCUACGAAAGCCCCCGGCAUCAACCGGGGAAGGGGGAUCCGGAAACGCCCCGUCUGGAGGACGUAGGGGGGGCCUGGAACGUUCCGGAUGGAGCGGUGAAUGACGUUGAGAUCGGAAGGUAACGCCCGUGGCGAAAGCGAGGCCCGGACGUCUGCUGACGACUGAGACGGCG
rnacentral:rRNA from 1 species